GCUGGGGGCGCUUUCGCCCCGCCGGGCACGGGGGCCGCCGCCGGCGCUCCUGGGGCGGGAGGUGCCGCCUUUCCCCAUCCAGGUGGCCGUGGAGAGGCAGAGGGAAGGAGCUGGGGAGAGGGAGGAAGGGACCUGGGCACCCAAGCGGCUGUGGGAGCCAGCGACCGGCUUCUGAGCCUCGAUAAGAGACGACUUAUAGGAGACCACGUGAAUGUGUAUAAAUAUCUACACCCCACACCUGGGCGUGCCAACCACUAAGACGAGAGGCAAUGGGCAGAAGCAUGCGCAAGAAAUUCCACCUGAAUGUGAGGCAGAAUUUCUUUACUGUGCGAGUGACAGAGCACUGAACAGAUUGGCCAGAGAGGUCAUGGAGUCUUCCUCACGGGAGAUAUUCAAGAAUUGUCUGAAUGCAGUGCUGUGCCGUGUAGUCUGGGAUGGCCCUGUUUAAGCAGGGAGGUUGGUCUAGGUGACGCACUGUGAUCCCUUCCAACCUCACCUGUUCUGUGAUUCUGUGACUGUGAUGGGUGUGGAGGAGGAUGGUCCCUGCAAGAGGAGCUGGCCCCUCUUGUAAGAGCUAUUCCAUAAAGACCCAAGUGGGUGUGAGGAGGAGGAGUGGUAAAGAGCAGUCUGGGGGAGUUUAUGGAGAAACCAAAGGGGGAAAAUUGCACGGUCUCCGUUUCCGGUUGGUUUUACUGCUCUAUGAUAUGGAGAAGAAAACAAUGCAGCAGCUUACUAGGGGAUGUUUCCAUCUCCAGACCCCCAACAUGUGAGAAGAUCCUUCUCUUUUUGUGCAUGGGGAGUGGAAGCAGUGGAUUAAUUACCUGAGACCCCACAGAUGGCCAGUGCCGUAGCCAAGUUACAGGUCCUUAUGGUAAACCCAGGCUGUCACUGAGAAGUCACAUCCUUCAAGAGGAGAAGAAUAGCUGGUCCCUCUGAAGCACAGAUGGUGGCUGAUAGAAGCUCUGGUCAACACACUACAACCCUUAAAGCAUUUUGGUAACAUGGUUUUAAAUAGGGAGUUGAGGUAUCUCAUCUAGCAGAGUUGAGGGAAUAUAAAAUGCUUUUUCAUCCACUGUCACCAUGAUUUGCCUUCCUUAUCACCACUAGUUAGUAUCUGAUUCUGUGUGUUCUGCAUCUCCCUGAGAAGAAGCUGUUCAGUUUGUUCCCAUUGAAAAAGCCUAAAUUUUGUGUAAACCAGAGUUAAAUCUGUUUCAACAAUGUGGAAAUCAAUUCCUAUGAGGAAGUUGUUUUUACCCCUCCUGCACUCUCAAAAUAAACUACUGUUCUUUCUUCA